UAGUAUAAUUGGGUCCUUGAGUAUUUUACUCUCACUCAAGUUUAUGAAACAUGCUAGUUUAUACAUUAGCCUACUUUCUCAUGUUUCCAUAUUGUAAUCAAUAUUCUUCAGUUUGUGAAAGGAACUCAAUUCCCAUUGUCUUCACAUUCUUGCAAGUUCCUCUCUCCUUAACACAGUGUCAAGGGUUCGAGUACCCAUAGGUGGUGAAAUUCCACUACGGCGUGCAUGUGUGGGGUGCGUGUGCGUGUGUUAAAAAAAAGUUCCUCUCUCCUUAACAUCAUACUAUGAUACCAAUUGAUGCCGAUCACCCGACAACCAUUGAUCUACAUCUGGCUGCUGUGUGUUUCUGAGCUGCACUCUCUUGUUGUGUAAAGAGACAACUCAGUGUUUCUUGUCUUGAAUUGAAGUUGAGCACCGUGAUAUGGCAUCUAUAGUUGCUGAGUUGACUUGAGUGCAAUUUCUACUCUGGCCUUUCCAUUUGAAAUUCUAUGACCCUUCUAUUCUUUGUUGUCAUAAUUUAAGUGCUAUGUAUGAAGUCAGAUUCGGUUGUUCAUGCAUGUACAAAUCAGGCUGGACUAACAUAUUGUUCAUAAGAAAGUUGCUUCAGGGCAAAUCACACCAUGCUUAUUCCUUCUUUUGCACAGUUCUCUAUUAUUUGUAGUAAGCUGCUUCCUUUAGAUUCCCAUCACUGAAUAUUUAGGGAAAUGGGCGUUCAGCCUUCGGCCACACACAUUUGAUGGGGAGUGUUAAGAGAGAGGUGUAAUUUCUCUGAGGUUUUUCUCAUAACUUCUAUGUACUAUAGGUGUCUUGCAAUCUAGCUUAUCUUUUAGAUAGGCUUGACAAGAUCUCUAGGAUCUCUCUUAUAAACUUUAAAGAUUUCCGAAAUCUUCCUAGAUAGACUUGGGAAGUAAUUAUUAUAGUCUAUUACCUUUUUAUGCAUUCUAUUCAUUCAACAGAGAAAACAAUUCCUAUGUGUUCAUUUCAAACAUAUAUUUAGUCUUAUAGAACGCUUAAUAGAAAUGGAGGUUACUGUAGCCAAGGCAAACAUAAAGAGUAUUUAAAUUGCAACCUAAAAAAAAUUGUUUAUAAAUUUAGCUGUGAUGAGUUUUAUCCUGUAACCUCAACGGCGCUUGUCAUUGAAGUGAAUGUUGAAUCAAUCUCUUGCGGUUUACAAAAGUUUAAUAUAUAAACAAUAUUGAAUCAAAUCGCCUGGGAUUUACGAAAGUUUAAUAUUUAAAGUUGUUCAAAGGCAUGAUUUUUUAGUGGCUCAUCCACAAUGGGCCCAUCAGUUGGGUUGCCAACUAUUCAGCAAAUGUCCAAUUAUUUCCGAUUGAAGGCCAUUGUCCAUUUGUUCAAUCUGAGCAUCCUAUGGUUGUGCCGUUUUUAGAAGCCUGUAACCUUAAUCCUUGCCAUUUUAGUAGAGCAUGUCAGUACUACCAAGUGAAAGAGAGAAGGGAAAAAUCCUAACUUACCAAAUAAAAGUCUUUUCAUGAAAUACUAAUGGAUGGUGAGAUCGCCUUCUCACAUCCAUCCAGAAAUGAUAAAAUUAGUAUUUCUGUUUCCAUCACACCACAAACCCAUCUCCCCCACUCUUGUAUCCAAACUGCCCCAGGCAUAUAUGCUAGCUUGAAACUUCCUUGUCUGCAUUUCUAUCAUCAACCUGCAUCCAGAGUAAGAUACAUGAAUAUCUCAUGGGGCAUGUAUGGGAUUUGCUUUGUUUACAACAAAAUCCAUGUGUUUUACUGUCAGGGGAGUAUUCGGCCGAUGAUGCCUGGGAAGUUGUAGAGCUGCAAGAACAGAUCACUAAAGGCUAUAUAAAUGUCUGUGCUCUUCAUAAGAAAGUGGUCAUGUAUGAGCCCUGGAUCGACAAUCAGGCAGGUCUAUCCAUCAUAUGGUCCCUAUGUAUAUGCUGAAUGUGGACCACUAGCCAACUUGCUGUAGCUCCUAAUUUUUGUUCACAUUGGGCUUACCUGUUGAAUGCGUCAGCUUGAUUGUUGGGAAUAUGCUAUGGUGCCCAGCAGAUAAACCCCUUGGAUUCCACACAGUUGCAACUCUGGCAUGUGUGACCACAUAGGUGGUCUAGAAUCUAUUGGUGUAUGAGGAUAUAGACCAAUCAGGUCUUUCUUAAUUUUCCUUUUAAUGUGUAUUUUUCUCCAAUUCUUUUGGAUCUUUGAUUUGUUGUUGAGGUUGUAUUUCUGAUUUUAGGUUGUUGAAAGUAAUGCACCUCAAAAUCUUUGUAGGUUUCCAUUUUGAAGUGAAAUGUAUGAUUGCAUUGUAUUGAGGAAAAAAUUGGGAAUAGAAAUGUAAAACCAACCUCAUUUCUUUUGCUUGAAUUCAACCUCCUCAAAUAGACCACGACUCAGAUCUAUUUGAGGAGCUGAGCAAGUAGAGAGAGAUUGAGAGCCUUAAUAUCUGCGACAAUUUGGCUGACCACAUGGUGGGUAAUGUAUAUUUCAGUUUAGAGAGGAAGAACAUGCUGCUAAUGCUUUACUGCAAUCUGAGUGGAAGGUUCUAUGCUUGGUGCAUAUGGAUGGACGGGCGUGGAUAAAACACAUGCAUCAAUGUGGGGCCAAUAGAUGAUUGUAAUCAAUUGUGCCUAAAUUUAGGCCUACAAGCACUUCAGCCUUUUGACACCACUCGUGCUAGGAGUAGACCAUAUAGAGGAUUUGUUUUUUUGUAAAAAAUUUAUUUAUUUAAAUUCAAGACCAUUUUCAAUUUAUUGUAAUAAAUGUUAUCUAUAUAUUUUUUUUAUUGUAUAGUAAUAUAAAUUUUGUUUAAUAUUCA